rnacentral:rRNA from 1 species
CAAACUAAAGAUGGCGACCGGCGCACGGGUGAGUAACACGUAUCCAACCUGCCGAUAACUCGGGGAUAGCCUUUCGAAAGAAAGAUUAAUAUCCGAUAGUAUAUUAAAGCCGCAUGGUUUUACUAUUAAAGAAUUUCGGUUAUCGAUGGGGAUGCGUUCCAUUAGUUUGUUGGCGGGGUAACGGCCCACCAAGACUACGAUGGAUAGGGGUUCUGAGAGGAAGGUCCCCCACAUUGGAACUGAGACACGGUCCAA